rnacentral:rRNA from 1 species
CGAGUUAUCUGAACCUUCGGGGAACGAUAACGGCGUCGAGCGGCGGACGGGUGAGUAAUGCCUAGGAAAUUGCCCUGAUGUGGGGGAUAACCAUUGGAAACGAUGGCUAAUACCGCAUAAUGCCUACGGGCCAAAGAGGGGGACCUCCGGGCCUCUCGCGUCAGGAUAUGCCUAGGUGGGAUUAGCUAGUUCGUGAGGGAUUGGCUCACCAAGGCGACGAUCCCUAGCUGGUCUGAGAGGAUUAUCAGCCACACUGGAACUGAGACACGGUCCAGACUCCUACGGGAGGCAGCAGUGGCCAAUACCACACAAUGGGCGCAAGCCUGAUGCAGCCAUGCCGCGUGUGUGAAGAAGGCCUUCGGGUUGUAAAGCACUUUCAGUCGUGAGGAAGGUAGUGUAGUUAAUAGCUGCAUUAUUUGACGUUAGCGACAGAAGAAGCGCGGCUAACUCCGUGCCAGCAGCCGCGGUAAUACGGAGGGUGCGAGCGUUAAUCGGAAUUACUGGGCGUAAAGCGCAUGCAGGUGGUUUGUUAAGUCAGAUGUGAAAGCCCGGGGCUCAACCUCGGAAUUGCAUUUGAAACUGGCAGACUAGAGUACUGUAGAGGGGGGUAGAAUUUCAGGUGUAGCGGUGAAAUGCGUAGAGAUCUGAAGGAAUACCGGUGGCGAAGGCGGCCCCCUGGACAGAUACUGACACUCAGAUGCGAAAGCGUGGGGAGCAAACAGGAUUAGAUACCCUGUUAGUCCACGCCGUAAACGAUGUCUACUUGGAGGUUGUGGCCUUGAGCCGUGGCUUUCGGAGCUAACGCGUUAAGUAGACCGCCUGGGGAGUACGGUCGCAAGAUUAAAACUCAUAUGAAUUGACGGGGGCCCGCACAAGCGGUGGAGCAUGUGGUUUAAUUCGAUGCAACGCGAAGAACCUUACCUACUCUUGACAUCCAGAGAACUUUCCAGAGAUGGAUUGGUGCCUUCGGGAACUCUGAGACAGGUGCUGCAUGGCUGUCGGCAGCUCGUGUUGUGAAAUGUUGGGUUAAGUCCCGCAGCGAGCGCAACCCUUAUGCUUGUUUGCCAGCGAGUAAUGUCGGGAACUCCAGGUUGACUGCCGGUGAUAAACCGGAGGAAGGUGGGGACGACGUCAAGUCAUCAUGGCCCUUACGAGUAGGGCUACACACGUGCUACAAUGGCGCAUACAGAGGGCAGCCAACUUGCGAGAGUCAGCGAAUCCCAAAAAGUGCGUCGUAGUCCGGAUCGGAGUCUGCAACUCGACUCCGUGAAGUCGGAAUCGCUAGUAAUCGUGGAUCAGAAUGCCACGGUGAAUACGUUCCCGGGCCUUGUACACACCGCCCGUCACACCAUGGGAGUGGGCUGCAAAAGAAGUAGGUAGU